rnacentral:tRNA from 1 species
ACUUAAGUAGUUUAUUAAAAAUUUUAAUUUGUGGAAUUAAGGAUAUGAUUUAUUCAUUUUAAGUA